GGGUGGGUACCGAAGCGGUCAAACGGGACUGGCUGUAAACCAGUUGACUUUUGUCUUCCUAGGUUCGAAUCCUAGCCCACCCA
rnacentral:tRNA from 1 species